rnacentral:rRNA from 1 species
GUCCACGCCCUAAACGAUGAUUACUCGACAUUUGCGAUACACAGUCAGUGUCUGAGCGAAAGCAUUAAGUAAUCCACCUGGGAAGUACGACCGCAAGGUUGAAACUCAAAGUAAUUGGCGGGGGUCGCACAAGCGGUGGAGCAUGUGGUUUAAUUCGAUGAUACGCGAGGAACCUUACCUGGGCUAGAAUGCAUUUUGACCGUGGGUGAAAGCUCACUUUGUAGCAAUACACAAUUUGUAAGGUGCUGCAUGGCUGUCGU